GCGAGGCUGUGACGCGCGUCAGGGACCAACAUAUCCCCGGGGCCUUAUCGAUCCUUUAGGGAACUGUCCCUGGCCGGGUCCGUGGAUCCGGACAUAUGGUGCCCACCUACUUUCGUAGGGAACUCCGGGAUCGAGCGUUCCAACGGCGUCUACGGCUUCGCG
rfam:Bradyrhizobium sp. STM 3843, WGS project CAFK01000000 data, contig: 00094-775